UGGGCGGAGGCAGCGGGUAGUGGGUUGGAGAGGUAGGAAGAGGUAGCCAAGGCAUGAAAACGAGCGUGAGGAUCUUGAAAUUGAUCCAUUCGGCGAUGGGGAGCUGUGGAGCCUGGCUAGAACUGGUGCGAUUGGGAUACGGAGUUCAUUGCGGGUCCCCAGAUGAGAGUAGCUGGUAAACUAAUCCUUGGAAACACCCAGACUUGAGGGUCGUAAACAUUGAAACUCCAGCAGGACUUUCCACCAGCCGGCCAGCAUUUAAAAAGGAAUGACGCAAUUCUGCUUUGCUCCUGUGUCGAUUGGGCGCCCUUCCCUCUCAGCAAACCUUUGUGAUGUGAAUUGAUCUGCAAAGGAAAUGAAGAGCAAAACACGACACAGACUUAAGAUCCUUCGGGUGAUAAGGUGGCACCUUGGUCAUAUUAUAAAGAGGAAUGGGAAGUGGAACUUAAUGGAUUAUCUCAAAGUGAGAACUA